ACCAGACUCCUACGGGAGGCAGCAGUGGGGGAUAUUGCACAAUGGGGGGAACCCUGAUGCAGCGACGCCGCGUGGGUGAAGGAGUAUUUCGGUAUGUAAAGCCCUAUCGGCAGGGAAGAAGCAAGACGGUACCUGACUAAGAAGCCCCGGCUAACUACGUGCCAGCAGCCGCGGUAAUACGUAGGGGGCGAGCGUUAUCCGGAUUCACUGGGUGUAAAGGGAGCGUAGACGGCCAAGCAAGCCAGGGGUGAAAGCCCGGGGCCCAACCGCGGGAGUGCAUUGGGAACUGGCGAGCUAGAGUACCGGAGGGGCAGGCGGAAUUCCUAGUGUAGCGGUGAAAUGCGUAGAUAUUAGGAGGAACACCAGUGGCGAAGGCGGCCUGCUGGACGGAGACUGACGCUGAGGCUCGAAAGCGUGGGGAGCAAACAGGAUUAGAUACCCUAGUAGG
rnacentral:rRNA from 1 species